GAAACGACUGCUAAGACUGGAUAGGAAACAGAAAGGCAUCUUUUUGUUCUUAAAAGACCUUUUUCGGAAGGUAUGCUUAAAGAUGGGCUUGCGCCACAUUAGUUAGUUGGUAGGGUAAUGGCCUACCAAGACGAUGAUGUGUAGCUGGACUGAGAGGUCGAACAGCCACAUUGGGACUGAGACACGGCCCAAACUCCUACGGGAGGCAGCAGUAGGGAAUUUUCGGCAAUGGAGGAAACUCUGACCGAGCAACGCCGCGUGAACGAUGAAGUAUUUCGGUAUGUAAAGUUCUUUUAUUGAAGAAGAAAAAAUAGUGGAAAAACUAUCUUGACGUUAUUCAAUGAAUAAGCCCCGGCUAACUAUGUGCCAGCAGCCGCGGUAAUACAUAGGGGGCGAGCGUUAUCCGGAAUUAUUGGGCGUAAAGGGUGCGUAGGCGGUUAGGAAAGUCUAUAAUUUAAUUUCAGUGCUUAACGCUGUCUUGUUAUAGAAACUACCUUGACUAGAGUUAGAUAGAGGCAAGCGGAAUUCCAUGUGUAGCGGUAAAAUGUGUAAAUAUAUGGAGGAACACCAGAAGCGUAGGCGGCUUGCUGGGUCUUGACUGACGCUGAGGCACGAAAGCGUGGGUAGCAAACAGGAUUAGAUACCCUGGUAGUCCACGCCGUAAACGAUGAGUACUAAGUGUCGGGGUAAAACUCGGUACUGAAGUUAACACAUUAGGUACUCCGCCUGAGUAGUACGUACGCAAGUAUGAAACUUAAAGGAAUUGACGGGACUCCGCACAAGCGGUGGAUCAUGUUGUUUAAUUCGAAGAUACACGAAAAAUCUUACCAGGUCUUGACAUGCUUUGCAAAGCUAUAGAAAUAUAGUGGAGGUUAUCAGGGACACAGGUGGUGCAUGGUUGUCGUCAGUUCGUGUCGUGAGAUGUUAGGUUAAGUCCUAAAACGAGCGCAACCCUUGUCGUUAAUUGCCAGCACGUAAUGGUGGGGACUUUAGCGAGACUGCCAAUUAAAAAUUGGAGGAAGGUGAGGAUUACGUCAAAUCAUCAUGCCCCUUAUGAUCUGGGCUACAAACGUGAUACAAUGGCUGUUACAAAGAGUAGCUGAAGCGCGAGUUUUUGGCAAAUCUCAAAAAAGCAGUCUCAGUUCGGAUUGAAGUCUGUAACUCGACUUCAUGAAGUUGGAAUCGCUGGUAAUCGCGAAUCAGCAUGUCGCGGUGAAUACGUUCUCGGGGUUUGUACACACCGCCCGUCA
rnacentral:rRNA from 1 species